AAAUUGAAGAGUUUGAUCAUGGCUCAGAUUGAACGCUGGCGGCAGGCCUAACACAUGCAAGUCGAACGGUAACAGGAAGCAGCUUGCUGCUUUGCUGACGAGUGGCGGACGGGUGAGUAAUGUCUGGGAAACUGCCUGAUGGAGGGGGAUAACUACUGGAAACGGUGGCUAAUACCGCAUAAUGUCGCAAGACCAAAGAGGGGGACCUUCGGGCCUCUUGCCAUCAGAUGUGCCCAGAUGGGAUUAGCUUGUUGGUGAGGUAACGGCUCACCAAGGCGACGAUCCCUAGCUGGUCUGAGAGGAUGACCAGCCACACUGGAACUGAGACACGGUCCAGACUCCUACGGGAGGCAGCAGUGGGGAAUAUUGCACAAUGGGCGCAAGCCUGAUGCAGCCAUGCCGCGUGUAUGAAGAAGGCCUUCGGGUUGUAAAGUACUUUCAGCGGGGAGGAAGGUGUUGCGGUUAAUAACCGCAGCAAUUGACGUUACCCGCAGAAGAAGCACCGGCUAACUCCGUGCCAGCAGCCGCGGUAAUACGGAGGGUGCAAGCGUUAAUCGGAAUUACUGGGCGUAAAGCGCACGCAGGCGGUCUGUCAAGUCGGAUGUGAAAUCCCCGGGCUCAACCUGGGAACUGCAUUCGAAACUGGCAGGCUUGAGUCUUGUAGAGGGGGGUAGAAUUCCAGGUGUAGCGGUGAAAUGCGUAGAGAUCUGGAGGAAUACCGGUGGCGAAGGCGGCCCCCUGGACAAAGACUGACGCUCAGGUGCGAAAGCGUGGGGAGCAAACAGGAUUAGAUACCCUGGUAGUCCACGCCGUAAACGAUGUCUACUUGGAGGUUGUGCCCUUGAGGCGUGGCUUCCGGAGCUAACGCGUUAAGUAGACCGCCUGGGGAGUACGGCCGCAAGGUUAAAACUCAAAUGAAUUGACGGGGGCCCGCACAAGCGGUGGAGCAUGUGGUUUAAUUCGAUGCAACGCGAAGAACCUUACCUGGUCUUGACAUCCACAGAACUUUCCAGAGAUGGAU
rnacentral:rRNA from 1 species